rnacentral:rRNA from 1 species
GAUGAACGCUGGCGGCGUGCCUAAUACAUGCAAGUCGAGCGAACAGAUGAGGAGCUUGCUCCUCUGACGUUAGCGGCGGACGGGUGAGUAACACGUGGAUAACCUACCUAUAAGACUGGGAUAACUUCGGGAAACCGGAUCUAAUACCGGAUAAUAUAUUGAACCGCAUGGUUCAAUAGUGAAAGACGGUUUUGCUGUCACUUAUAGAUGGAUCCGCGCCGCAUUAGCUAGUUGGUAAGGUAACGGCUUACCAAGGCAACGAUGCGUAGCCGACCUGAGAGGGUGAUCGGCCACACUGGAACUGAGACACGGUCCAGACUCCUACGGGAGGCAGCAGUAGGGAAUCUUCCGCAAUGGGCGAAAGCCUGACGGAGCAACGCCGCGUGAGUGAUGAAGGUCUUCGGAUCGUAAAACUCUGUUAUUAGGGAAGAACAAAUGUGUAAGUAACUAUGCACGUCAUGACGGUACCGAAUCAGAAAGCCACGGCUAACUACGUG